GCGAACGGGUGAGGAAUACAUAGGUAACCUACCCUCGAGUGGGGAAUAACUAGCCGAAAGGUUAGCUAAUACCGCGUACGCUCCCCGGACUACGGUUCGGGGAGGAAAGCGAUACCGUGGGUAUCGCGCUCUUGGAUGGGCUUAUGUCCUAUCAGCUUGUUGGUGAGGUAAUGGCUCACCAAGGCUUCGACGGGUAGCUGGUCUGAGAGGACGAUCAGCCACACUGGCACUGCGACACGGGCCAGACUCCUACGGGAGGCAGCAGUAAGGAAUAUUGCGCAAUGGGCGACAGCCUGACGCAGCGACGCCGCGUGGGGGACGAAGGUCUUCGGAUUGUAAACCCCUUUCGGGAGGGAAGAUGGGAUGGGUAACCAUUCGGACGGUACCUCCAGAAGCAGCCACGGCUAACUUCGUGCCAGCAGCCGCGG
rnacentral:rRNA from 1 species